ensembl:lncRNA
ACUGAUCGAGCUCACAGAAGCAGCAAGAACUUUGCUUUUGAGACUGGCAUUCUUACCAUGCUCAGCGUCAGAGUUUCUGAAUGCUUUGUGGACACAGAAGGAAGAGUGAACAGUACAGCCCUGGUCUGGUUGUAGGAGGCAGCUGCAGAACAGGCACUAGCAGUAAAGGCUCUAGGAGCCAAGGAAGGAAAAUGUUCCAUUUUCAUUUAUAUGACAAGAAGACUUGAAGCAACCCCUCUUCUUUGACCUGGCAUUAGAAUUUUUUAGGUGACAUCUGUUCUAUCUGAAGUCUUGAGGAAUUCCAAACCACAGAAUCCCCUUGUGUGAACACAGGACUUCGAUGUCACUGGCACAUGCAGCAACCAAGAUAUUUAUAACAGUUCUUUGACAACAGCGGUUCGGUCUAUCUCAGCUGAUAUCAAAAAGUCAACAACAUAUGCCCAUUUUCUUCACUCUUGUACCACACGUGGGAUUUUCAGCUAGACGUACUUUCUGUGUUUAAAUUAAACAUAUGAUGUAUCUAUAAACUGAAAUGCUUUCCCUGUGAAAGGUUCCCUGGUAGACUGCAAUAAUUAUUCGCUUUGAUGUAGUUUCAGAAGGCAUGCAAAAGCCUCUCAGUUCGACACUGAUACAACCUGGGUGCAUUUGUUUUUAAAACAGGGAGCUCUUAAAAUGUCCUUACUUUUACUACUGUUACUAUAUUAGCAGCUGAAACGUGAAUACCCUUUGAUUCAUUGUAUCACCUAUAGUUAUUGGAAAUGCUGCUCUUAAUUCAUGAUACACAGAAGUAAAUAUACAAAUCCAGUCUGACAGUCUUAUUUUAUAUGACAGUUCCCGGUCACAUGGGAGAUGAGUACCACCAAACUGUAUUUAUAAUAAAUCUAUACUAAAAGCCUGUCCUUAUAUGUAUGAGUACUUGAAUUAGAAAACAUGUUCCCUGAAUGCAUGUACACGCACACGGUCCAAUCCAUAUUCUUUGCCCUAAUACCCAUCUAAUAAAAAUGUU